UACGGAAGGCAGCAGUGGGGAAUAUUGCACAAUGGGCGAAAGCCUGAUGCAGCUAUACCGCGUGUAUGAAGAAGGCCUUAGGGUUGUAAAGUACUUUCAUCGGGGAGGAAAAAACAAAACUAAUAAUUUUAUUUCUUGACGUUACCCGAAAAAGAAGCACCGGCUAACUCCGUGCCAGCAGCCGCGGUAAUACGGAGGGUGCUAGCGUUAAUCAGAAUUACUGGGCGUAAAGAGCACGUAGGUGGUUUUUUUAAAGUCAGAUGUGAAAUCCCCUGGGCUUUAACCUAGGAACUGCAUUUUGAAACUGAAAUACUAGAGUAUCGUAGAGGGAGGUAGAAUUCUAGGUGUAGCGGUGAAAUGCGUAGAUAUCUGGAGGAAUACCUGUGGCGAAAGCGGCCUCCUAAACGAAUACUGACACUGAGGUGCGAAAGCGUGGGGAGCAAACAGGGAUUAGAUACC
rnacentral:rRNA from 1 species